rnacentral:tRNA from 1 species
GCUUGUAUAGCUCAGUAGGUAGAGCACCACCAUGGUAAGGUGGGGGUCACCGGUCCGAUUCCGGUUACAAGCUCCA